UACGGAGGGUGCGAGCGUUGUCCGGAAUCACUGGGCGUAAAGGGCACGUAGGCGGCUUUCUAAGUCAGGGGUGAAAUCCUGGAGCUCAACUCCAGAACUGCCUUUGAUACUGGGAAGCUCGAGUCCGGAAGAGGUGAGUGGAACUGCGAGUGUAGAGGUGAAAUUCGUAGAUAUUCGCAAGAACACCAGUGGCGAAGGCGGCUCACUGGUCCGGUACUGACGCUGAGGUGCGAAAGCGUGGGGAGCAAACAGG
rnacentral:rRNA from 1 species